AGAGUUUGAUCCUGGCUCAGAACAAACGCUGGCGGCGUGCCUAACACAUGCAAGUCGUACGAGAAAGUCCGCUUCGGUGGAUGAGUAAAGUGGCGCACGGGUGAGUAACGCGUGGAUAAUCUACCCUUUAGUCUGGAAUAACUUAUCGAAAGGUGAACUAAUACCGGAUAAUAUCCCGAUUUCUUCGGCGAUCGGGAUCAAAGAAGGCCUCUGCUUGCAAGCUUUCACUGAAGGAUGAGUCCGCGUACCAUUAGCUAGUUGGCAGGGUAAUGGCCUACCAAGGUUAUGAUGGUUAGCUGGUCUGAGAGGAUGAUCAGCCACACUGGAACUGAAACACGGUCCAGACUCCUACGGGAGGCAGCAGUGAGGAAUAUUGCGCAAUGGGGGCAACCCUGACGCAGCAACGCCGCGUGAGUGAGGAAGGUUUUCGGAUUGUAAAGCUCUGUCGAGCGGAAAGAAGUGCAUGGUGGUUAAUAUCCAUCAUGCUUGACGGUACCGCUAAAGGAAGCACCGGCUAACUCCGUGCCAGCAGCCGCGGUAAUACGGGGGGUGCAAGCGUUGUUCGGAAUCAUUGGGCGUAAAGCGCGUGUAGGCGGCUGGACAAGUCAGAUGUGAAAGCCCUGGGCUUAACCCAGGAAGUGCAUUUGAAACUGUUCAGCUAGAGUAAGGGAGAGGAAAGUGGAACUCCUGGUGUAGAGGUGAAAUUCGUAGAUAUCAGGAGGAACACCGGUGGCGAAGGCGACUUUCUGGCCCUAUACUGACGCUGAGACGCGAAAGCGUGGGUAGCAAACAGGAUUAGAUACCCUGGUAGUCCACGCUGUAAACGAUGUUCACUAGGUGUUGGGGGUAUUGACCCUUCCAGUGCCGCAGCUAACGCAUUAAGUGAACCGCCUGGGGAGUACGGUCGCAAGAUUAAAACUCAAAUGAAUUGACGG
rnacentral:rRNA from 1 species